AGAGUUUGAUCAUGGCUCAGAGCGAACGGCGGCAGUAACACAUGCAAGUCGAGCGGGCGUAGCAAUACGUCAGCGGCAGACGGGUGAGUAACGCGUGGGAACAUACCUUUUGGUUCGGAACAACACAGGGAAACUUGUGCUAAUACCGGAUAAGCCCUUACGGGGAAAGAUUUAUCGCCGAAAGAUUGGCCCGCGUCUGAUUAGCUAGUUGGUGAGGUAACGGCUCACCAAGGCGACGAUCAGUAGCUGGUCUGAGAGGAUGAUCAGCCACAUUGGGACUGAGACACGGCCCAAACUCCUACGGGAGGCAGCAGUGGGGAAUAUUGGACAAUGGGCGCAAGCCUGAUCCAGCCAUGCCGCGUGAGUGAUGAAGGCCCUAGGGUUGUAAAGCUCUUUUGUGCGGGAAGAUAAUGACGGUACCGCAAGAAUAAGCCCCGGCUAACUUCGUGCCAGCAGCCGCGGUAAUACGAAGGGGGCUAGCGUUGCUCGGAAUCACUGGGCGUAAAGGGUGCGUAGGCGGGUCUUUAAGUCAGGGGUGAAAUCCUGGAGCUCAACUCCAGAACUGCCUUUGAUACUGAAGAUCUUGAGUUCGGGAGAGGUGAGUGGAACUGCGAGUGUAGAGGUGAAAUUCGUAGAUAUUCGCAAGAACACCAGUGGCGAAGGCGGCUCACUGGCCCGAUACUGACGCUGAGGCACGAAAGCGUGGGGAGCAAACAGGAUUAGAUACCCUAGUAGUCC
rnacentral:rRNA from 1 species